GCGCCAUCAUUGAUUUGUCUUUAUCGGAAGAUGAAAAUGAAUCGUUGGUAAAGAUGCGGGUAAUGGGUUAGGCAGGAAACUGAACAGCCCCUACCACACGUGGUGCGUCGAUGUGAGAUUGCAUGGUUGAGCUCG
rnacentral:SRP_RNA from 1 species